UCCGGAAUCAUUGGGCGUAAAGCGCGUGUAGGCGGCCCGGUAAGUCCGCUGUGAAAGUCGGGGGCUCAACCCUCGGAUGCCGGUGGAUACUGUCGGGCUAGAGUGCGGAAGAGGCGAGUGGAAUUCCUGGUGUAGCGGUGAAAUGCGCAGAUAUCAGGAGGAACACCAAUUGCGAAGGCAGCUCGCUGGGACGUGACUGACGCUGAGACGCGAAAGCGUGGGGAGCAAACCGG
rnacentral:rRNA from 1 species